AUGUGGGCACACGAGGAUGCAGGAGGAGGGUUCCCAGCAGCCUGGCGCUGCCGCCCCCACAUGUUCCCGCUCCUACAAGCCACCGGAGAUACCGGGUUGUUUACUGGUAUUAAUAACCGGGUGGCUCCAGGCGGAUUGCUGGCUCUAAGGCAGCCCGAGAUGGGAAGGCAGCGGGCGGGGGGGGGGGAGAGGAAAGGGCAGUGGUUAUUUUUAGAAAAGCUGGAAAGAUUUGGUUUUGGUUGUUGUUUUAUUAUUAUUAUUAUUAUUUUCAAAAAUAGCUUCCCCAGUGACAUGGAAAUAGCCCCCCCCCCCCCCCCCCCCCCCCCCCCGCCGCCCCGGAGCAAACGCUGCAGGCUCGGCCACGCACCCGGAGCCAGCACCAGCCCCGGCUGGCAUCCGUCUGUCCAGCUGGGCGGUCUGUCCCCACUGGAGGCUUUUUUUGCAGCUUUGCCCCUCUGGAAGGAAACCACAUUGGAGCACGGGCAGCCCCUGGAGCUGGGGGAUCCCCCCUUGCAGCAAGGGGAGGCAGCAGCAGGAGCAGGCGCAGCCUCCCCCUGCAAUGCAGCCCCAGCCCGGGGGCUCGCCCUGGGUACAAGGGCUGGGGAGCAUUGGGCUGGCAGUGAUGGAGCUCCCAGUGAUUCCAGCACAGCGUUUGGGGUCUCCCAGUGUUCCCCGGUGGCAGCCAAAUCCUUGGUUCCGCUUGUAGGGCUGCAGGACUCAAGCCCCAUCCUCCUCCAGACCCCUCCUGGGCUCACCCCUGGCUGCAUCAGCACCAGACCCUGCAGAGCCUCAGUGCGUGACCUCCCAGCUGCGGGAGCUGGGACUGAGCCCCUCCUCAUCAUCAUCAUCCUCACUGCACCAGACCCUCACUGCUCCCUUCCCUCCGCAGGAACCCAAGAGCCCACUGUCCAGCCCCGAUCCCCCAGGUCUCAGGAGCAACCACAGGCUCCUUUCCCCCUCCUCUUACAGGAAUUCCUGCAGAAAUGCUGUGAUGAGCCCUGCUGCCCCCACCCAGCUGCAGACCCAUGCCCCGUCCUUUUCCUCCAGGACGCACACAGUGGGCGCAGCACCACUGCAAAGUGUGGCCAAAAAAAACCCAACAAACCUGCAGCCCCAGGAGCAAACUCCCUAGCAGUUUUCUUGGAGCAUCAGCAUUUCUUGCAGCCAGCACAGGCUGCAAGCAGCAUGCAAAAAGAAGGGGGCAGGACCGCAGGGUUAUUUAUAGCCCUUGAGCUAAUUAUCUGCACCCGGCUGCUUUGUUAG
rnacentral:lncRNA from 1 species